rfam:Aedes aegypti strain Liverpool supercont1.1160 genomic scaffold, whole genome shotgun sequence.
CCUCUCAUGGCGUAGUGGUAACGCGCCCCAACUAGAGAUCGGGGAGUCGUGAGUUCGAUUCUUACUGAGAAGA